rfam:Staphylococcus saprophyticus strain CNV2 Spades_3, whole genome shotgun sequence.
UAUUGUUAACAAAUAGUUCUUGACUUGAUAGUGAUAAACAUGGUAAGAUAAUUUGGUAAGCCAAUCGUAAAGAAAUUAAUAUUAUUAUCGCGGGAUGGAGCAGUUCGG